rnacentral:lncRNA from 1 species
UCCAACCUGAGCUAGCGUCUGUUGCCCAUGUUCCUCAGUUUCAGAGGGUGGAUUUCUCCGUGCUGCUUUUUACCCGGGUCUCCACGCCCUUGUGUGUUUCUUUUGCUUAACGAUUGCCACCUGAGCUAGCCUCUGUUGCGCUUCUUUCUCAGUUUCUGAGGGUGGAUUUCUCAGUGUUGCUUUUUCCCCAGGUCUCCACGCCCUUGUGUGUGUGUGUGUGUGUGUGUGUUCUGCUUAAAGAUUGCCACCCGAGCUAGCCCCUGUUGCCCAUCUUCGUCAGUUUCAGAGGGUAGAUUUCUCAGUGUUGAUUUUCCCCCAGUUCUCCACGCCCUCGUGCUUUUUUUUUUUUUUUAAUUUCCUUAAAUGUCGGCACCUCAGCUAGCCUCUUUUUCCCAUCUUCGUCCGUUUCAGCGGGUAGACUCUCCGCCUGCCUUCGACAGACCCUCUGCGCUUGAAAGCUUUCCUCCUCCCGUCAUCACGGUCCUUCUCGGAUGACGUGCCUGGUUUCGGUUUGACCGUCCCCGCCCGCCCUGAUUUUCUAAGUCCUCCCGGGAGCCCCGGGGGCGCUCCGGCCGCUCCGGGAAGCGGCGGCCUCCCGGCCGCACCGGCUCAGCCCGGCCCGGGCCGACCCCUGGCCUCUCUGGGGGAACUCUCCCCGUCCCCUUCCCGGUGAGCGCCCGAGAAACCUUUUCCGGGUCCCCCUCCUGCGGCUGGGGCUGCGCCUUGGCGGCCGGAGCCCGCGGGCGGACGCCCCGGGGCCGAGCUGGGCCGGGAGGCUGGGUCCGGGGGCGCCGGGACGGGAUCUGGCGGCCCGGCGGCCCGGCUGUGCUCCCCGGCGGGCCCGCGCUCCGGCUCCGUCCCGCUGAGGCGGUCGCCGGUCGCCGGGUGCCACCUGGCGGCCGCUUUUAUAUCGUCUCUUUCCUCCGGAGCUCCGGCGACGCGGGCCAAGGGACGGGACUCGGCCGCGGUGACCGAGGCAGAGUCCCGGGAGGCCGGCGUCGCUGGCGGGAUCUGGCCCGUCCGCGCCCGAGGCCGUCCCCGGGAGCCUUCCCGCGAGCCCGCGCUCCCUCCGUCGAGGCGCGCGCCGCGCUCCCCGUUGCCGCCGGUGCUCCCCCGCCCGGCGUGGGACGCCGGCGCCGUGUGCGGGAGAGCCCUGGCCGUGGAGGUGGGUGGUGGGGCCGAGCGCGUCUCUCGGCGGGCCGCGGCCCUUCCUCCACCGCCACCGCCUCUCCGGCGCCUCGGCCCUCGCCGCCGUCGGCCUUCUCCCGAGCCCUUCCCCGUCGUCGCCUGUUCUGGCUGCCCGACGGGGGGACCGUCCCCCGCGGCGCCCCGUUCUGGCGCGCGCGUGUCUGUCGCAGCGCGGGUCGGGUCCCGGGCAGCCGUCGUGACCGGCCGCCGGCGCGCCGCGCCACCCCUGGGGCGGGGGUCGGGCCUCGGUCCGGCUCUCGGCCCGCGGGGGCGUGCGCGGGCAGCCGGCCGGCCGGUGUCGACGCGACUGCCUGGUGCCCCGGCCCCGCUCACGCGCCGUCAAUCGGGGCCGCCGCGAGGGGCGCCCCCGCCCCUCCACGCCGCCGCGCGCGCGUCCUCGUCGGCCGGGGCGGGCGGCGGGGUCCGUCCGUCCUCGCCCCGCCCCCGCGCCUCGGGUGCCGCCGCCGCCGCCGCCUCCGUGCGCCCCGCGCCCGGGCACGCACGGCCCGUGCCGCGAGAGGUCGCCGCCGCCGCCGCCGCCGCCUCGGCGCGUGUGCGCGCGCGCGUGCGCGGCCUCUCCCGGCUCCCUCGCGCUCCUACCUGGUUGAUCCUGCCAGUAGCAUAUGCUUGUCUCAAAGAUUAAGCCAUGCAUGUCUAAGUACGCACGGCCGGUACAGUGAAACUGCGAAUGGCUCAUUAAAUCAGUUAUGGUUCCUUUGGUCGCUCGCUCCUCUCCUACUUGGAUAACUGUGGUAAUUCUAGAGCUAAUACAUGCCGACGGGCGCUGACCCCCUUCGCGGGGGGAUGCGUGCAUUUAUCAGAUCAAAACCAACCCGGUCAGCCUCCUCCCGGCCCCGGCCGGGGGCGGGCGCCGGCGGCUUUGGUGACUCUAGAUAACCUCGGGCCGAUCGCACGCCCCCGUGGCGGCGACGACCCAUUCGAACGUCUGCCCUAUCAACUUUCGAUGGUAGUCGCUGUGCCUACCAUGGUGACCACGGGUGACGGGGAAUCAGGGUUCGAUUCCGGAGAGGGAGCCUGAGAAACGGCUACCACAUCCAAGGAAGGCAGCAGGCGCGCAAAUUACCCACUCCCGACCCGGGGAGGUAGUGACGAAAAAUAACAAUACAGGACUCUUUCAGGCCCUGUAAUUGGAAUGAGUCCACUUUAAAUCCUUUCGCGAGGAUCCAUUGGAGGGCAAGUCUGGUGCCAGCAGCCGCGGUAAUUCCAGCUCCAAUAGCGUAUAUUAAAGUUGCUGCAGUUAAAAAGCUCGUAGUUGGAUCUUGGGAGCGGGCGGGCGGUCCGCCGCGAGGCGAGCCACCGCCCGUCCCCGCCCCUUGCCUCUCGGCGCCCCCUCGAUGCUCUUAGCUGAGUGUCCCGCGGGGCCCGAAGCGUUUACUUUGAAAAAAUUAGAGUGUUCAAAGCAGGCCCGAGCCGCCUGGAUACCGCAGCUAGGAAUAAUGGAAUAGGACCGCGGUUCUAUUUUGUUGGUUUUCGGAACUGAGGCCAUGAUUAAGAGGGACGGCCGGGCAUUCGUAUUGCGCCGCUAGAGGUGAAAUUCUUGGACCGGCGCAAGACGGACCAGAGCGAAAGCAUUUGCCAAGAAUGUUUUCAUUAAUCAAGAACGAAAGUCGGAGGUUCGA